UACGUAGGGUGCGAGCGUUAUUCGGAAUCAUUGGGCGUAAAGCGUGCGCAGGCGGCUUCGCAAGUCAGGCGUGAAAUCCCCGGGCUUAACCUGGGAAUGGCGUCUGAAACUACGGAGCUGGAGUGUGGCAGAGGGAGGUAGAAUUCCACGUGUAGCGGUGAAAUGCGUAGAUAUGUGGAGGAAUACCGAUGGCGAAGGCGGCCUCCUGGGCCAGCACUGACGCUCAGGCACGAAAGCGUGGGGAGCAAACAGG
rnacentral:rRNA from 1 species